ensembl:snRNA U6 U6 spliceosomal RNA
GUGCUUGCUUCAGCAGCACAUAUACUGAAAUUGGAAUAAUUCAGAGAUUAGCAUGGCCCCUGUGCAAGGAUGACAUCGAAAUUUUGCAAAAUGUUCCACAUUUUU